GUUAAUUCGGCGCACGCUUUGUGUAAUCUCGACACGUAAGCCUGCUUACACGGUGUUUGCUUUAGUGUAUUUCCGCGACGAGAACGCUAUGUUCAACGUGCACCAUAAGAACUCAGCCACAAAUGUCUUGGAUUAUUACUCUACAAAGUGGCACCAAGAAUAAUGGCAAGACGAGCAACAAGCUUACGUCAAGGCCCAUGUGCUCCGAUUGUUCGAAUUUUGGAGGCAUUUCCUCGAGUGCCGCUGCGGCUGCCCAGAAGAAAGUGACACAAGACAUAGUUGCCUUGGCAAAAUGGUCGCCGACAUCAUGAAGGGCCAGCAUAAGCAUUUGUAGUUUUGAUUAUGAAAAUAUAUUUGAACGUAUGCCGCAUUCAUCCACUGUGAUUAUCAUUGCAUGGGCGCUGCUAUAUUGCAGGCCUUCUGCAUGACGACGGGACACCCAUGAAACACUUACUCAAGGCUAAUUCUAAUAGGGCAAAAAAGGACAAUAGGACAAGCGGACAAAAAACAAUGACAAGCUGGGACCAGCUGCAGUGGGGAAACAACUGGGACCAGCUGCAGUGGGGAAACAACUGGGACCAGCUGCAGUGGGGAAGCAACUGGGACCAGUUGCAGUGGGGACCCAACUGGGAUCAGCUGGGACCAGUUGCAGUGGGGACCCAACUGGUCCCCGCUGGGAAUUGUUCCAUAAACCAUUUGAACUGGGACCAGUUGGGACCAGUUGCAUUCCCAGUUGCAAAUUUUCACCUGGGUGCCCUUAUUUUUUGUAUUAAAAACGUGGGACGAAGCAGAAAGGUUGGGAAAACAAGUCCCUCGUCCUCCGUCUCUGGUAUCUGAUGACAGCGAGACCAGCGACGCUUCAGUUCAGACGCUUUAAUGGAGGUUGAAUUAUUGCGCACAUAUAUUGUUGCAGUUUGUUGUUGUGUUUGUCUCUAUGCACAAAGAAACAUAAGCGUAGAUCAGGGCUGAAGGACCGGUGCCCUGCUCGUUAGUGUAGUUGAAGUCUCGCAAACCCUUUGUGUACUUUAUGCUCAGCGUGUGUGUUGAGCCAAACACGCGUUUAUCGCCUCUUAAUAAAACGCUCUAGUCGAUGCGGUGUGUGCGUUGGCGUGCGCACCAAUCGGCUUAUCAAACUUGUUCGACAUAACAUCACAAGAACGAUAUAAUUCGUUACAAAAUGUGCGUAACAUAUGUUCAUUGGUGCGGUUUAUUAAUGCUGUUGGCUUAAUUGCAUAAGCAUGUAACGUGCAGCACGUGUUUUAGCCAACUCAUUGCAGCCUGACUGCUGUGUUGGGCUUGCAACGAUAUGGAAUCUAGGCUGCCUUGACUACAGUCUGUUAUAUCUUUCUGACUGCCUCAUCGUGAAUCUACCAUACCUUAAUUUAAUUACUUCAUGCCAUCUUUAAGUUGACAUUUAGUGGCAUGCUCUAUGCGUAAUAGUCACCACCAUCCCGAAAAAGAUAACCAUACG